rnacentral:rRNA from 1 species
UACGGAGGGUGCGAGCGUUAAUCGGAAUUACUGGGCGUAAAGCGCGCGUAGGCGGCCAAGUAAGUCGAUUGUGAAAGCCCCGGGCUUAACCUGGGAAUUGCAGUCGAUACUGCUUGGCUAGAGUGUGGUAGAGGGAAGCAGAAUUCCCGGUGUAGCGGUGAAAUGCGUAGAUAUCGGGAGGAAUACCAGUGGCGAAGGCAGCUUCCUGGACCAACACUGACGCUCAGGUGCGAAAGCGUAGGUAGCAAACAGG